CAAGUACUCCCUCCGUCCAGAAAUACUUGUCAUCAAAAUGGAUAAAAGGAAACGUAUCUAGACGUAUUUUAGUUUUAGAUACAUCUCUUUUUAUCCAUUUUGAUGACAAGUAUUUUCGGACGGAGGGAGUAGAAA
rnacentral:pre_miRNA from 1 species